UUGGGACGCGUAGCGGAGGAGCGUGUAGUCGGCGGAGGAGCAUACCAUAAGCGGAGGAUUCACCCUUGUCUUUAGCAUACUUCUUGUUUCCUUGGUGGGUUCGCCCACCACUAGGACAAACAUAAACCUUUUGUAAUUGCAAUCAGCGUCAGUAACAAAUUAAUAAUUACAACUUUCAACAACGGAUCUCUUGGUUCUGGCAUCGAUGAAGAACGCAGCGAAAUGCGAUAAGUAGUGUGAAUUGCAGAAUUCAGUGAAUCAUCGAAUCUUUGAACGCACAUUGCGCCCUUUGGUAUUCCAAAGGGCAUGCCUGUUCGAGCGUCAUUUGUACCCUCAAGCUUUGCUUGGUGUUGGGCGUCUUGUCUCUAGCUUUGCUGGAGACUCGCCUUAAAGUAAUUGGCAGCCGGCCUACUGGUUUCGGAGCGCAGCACAAGUCGCACUCUCUAUCAGCAAAGGUCUAGCAUCCAUUAAGCCUUUUUUCAACUUUUGACCUCGGAUCAGGUAGGGAUACCCGCUGAACUUAAGCAUAUCAAUAAGCGGAGGAA
rnacentral:rRNA from 1 species